CACGGGAAGGGGGCACCACUA
rnacentral:snRNA from 1 species